rnacentral:rRNA from 1 species
GACGAACGCUGGCGGCGUGCUUAACACAUGCAAGUCGAACGGUGAAGCGCCUUCCUUUUUGGUGGGUGUGGAUGAGUGGCGAACGGGUGAGUAACACGUGAGUAACCUGCCCCCUUCUUCUGGAUAACCGCAUGAAAGUGUGGCUAAUACGGGAUAUUCUGGGUCUGUCGCAUGAUGGGUCUGGGAAAGAUAUUGUUUCGGUGGGGGAUGGGCUCGCGGCCUAUCAGCUUGUUGGUGGGGUGAUGGCCUACCAAGGCGGUGACGGGUAGCCGGCCUGAGAGGGUGGACGGUCACACUGGGACUGAGACACGGCCCAGACUCCUACGGGAGGCAGCAGUGGGGAAUAUUGCACAGUGGGCGCAAGGCUGAUGCAGCGACGCCGCGGGAGGGAUGGAGGCCUUCGGGUUGUGAACCUCUUUCGCCAGUGAAGCAGGCCUGCCUCGUUUGUGGGUGGGUUGACGGUAGCUGGAUAAGAAGCGCCGGCUAACUACGUG